GAUGAACGCUGGCGGCGUGCUUAACACAUGCAAGUCGAACGAUGAACCUCACUUGUGGGGGGAUUAGUGGCGAACGGGUGAGUAACACGUGAGUAACCUGCCCUUGACUCUGGGAUAAGCCUGGGAAACCGGGUCUAAUACUGGAUACGACCUUCUGGCGCAUGCCAUGUUGGUGGAAAGCUUUUGUGGUUUUGGAUGGACUCGCGGCCUAUCAGCUUGUUGGUGGGGUAAUGGCCUACCAAGGCGACGACGGGUAGCCGGCCUGAGAGGGUGACCGGCCACACUGGGCCUGGGACCCGGCCCAGACUCCUACGGGAGGCAGCGGGGGGGAAUAUUGCACAAUGGGCGCAAGCCUGAUGCAGCGACGCCGCGUGAGGGAUGAAGGCCUUCGGGUUGUAAACCUCUUUCAGUAGGGAAGAAGCCGGCUUUUGGGUUGGUGACGGUACCUGCAGAAGAAGCGCCGGCUAACUACGUG
rnacentral:rRNA from 1 species